AGUCUUUUGUUUUUUUAUAAAAGGUGUUUUUUGGUCAGUGAUUAAUAAAUAGCCGCGGUAAUUUGACCGUGCAAAGGUAGCAUGAUCAUUUGCCUCGUAAUUGGGGGCUAGAAUGAAUGAAAGUACGAGAUUUAAGCUUUAUUUUUUAAAAGUAUAUAAUUUGUUUUUUAAGUGAAGAAACUUAAUUAUUGAUGUGGGACAAGAAGACCCUUUUGAGCUUUAUUUUUUUUUUAAAUUUUUUUUUAAAAUUAAUUUGGUUGGGGCGACCGAGGAAGAGUGAUCUUCCUUUUUUUAUUUUGAUCCAAUUUUAUUGAUUAAUAGAACAAGUUACCAAAGGGAUAACAGCGUUAUUUUUUUUGAGAGUUCUUAUUAAAAAAAAAGAUUGCGACCUCGAUGUUGACUUAUAGUUUCCUUUUGGUGUAGCCGCUAGUUAGGUUAGUCUGUUCGACUAUUAAAAUUUU
rnacentral:rRNA from 1 species